rnacentral:rRNA from 1 species
UGCAGCUGCUCGGGUACUCGAGUGGCGAACGGGUGAGUAACACGUGGGUGAUCUGCCUUGCACUUCGGGAUAAGCUUGGGAAACUGGGUCUAAUACCGGAUAGGACAGCUGUUUAGUGUCAGUUGUGGAAAGUUUUUUCGGUGCAAGAUGAGCUUGCGGCCUAUCAGCUUGUUGGUGGGGUAAUGGCCUACCAAGGCGUCGACGGGUAGCCGGCCUGAGAGGGUGUACGGCCACAUUGGGACUGAGAUACGGCCCAGACUCCUACGGGAGGCAGCAGUGGGGAAUAUUGCACAAUGGGCGGAAGCCUGAUGCAGCGACGCCGCGUGGGGGAUGAAGGCCUUCGGGUUGUAAACUCCUUUCGACAGGGACGAAGCGUAAGUGACGGUACCUGUAUAAGAAGCACCGGCUAACUACGUGCCAGCAGCCGCGGUAAUACGUAGGGUGCGAGCGUUGUCCGGAAUUACUGGGCGUAAAGAGCUCGUAGGUGGUUUGUCGCGUCGUCUGUGAAAUUCCGGGGCUUAACUCCGGGCGUGCAGGCGAUACGGGCUGACUUGAGUGCUGUAGGGGAGACUGGAAUUCCUGGUGUAGCGGUGAAAUGCGCAGAUAUCAGGAGGAACACCGAUGGCGAAGGCAGGUCUCUGGGCAGUAACUGACGCUGAGGAGCGAAAGCAUGGGUAGCGAACAGGAUUAGAUACCCUGGUAGUCCAUGCCGUAAACGGUGGGCGCUAGGUGUAGGGGGCUUCCACGUCUUCUGUGCCGUAGCUACGCAUUAAGCGCCCCGCCUGGGGAUACGCCCAA